rnacentral:ncRNA from 1 species
GGGAGCCGGAUGAGCUGAGAGGUUCACGUCCGGUUCUGCGAGCAGCUGGGGGUGAGACUCCCCUGGCUGACUCUCC